UACGGAGGGGGCAAGCGUUAUCCGGAUUCACUGGGUUUAAAGGGUGCGUAGGCGGGCAUGUAAGUCAGUGGUGAAAUCUCGGAGCUUAACUGCGGAACUGCCAUUGAAACUGUAUGUCUUGAGUAAUGUAGAGGUGAGCGGAAUAUGUCAUGUAGCGGUGAAAUGCAUAGAUAUGACAUAGAACACCGAUUGCGAAGGCAGCUUGCAACGCAAAUACUGACGCUGAGGCACGAAAGCGUGGGUAGCGAACAGG
rnacentral:rRNA from 1 species